rnacentral:rRNA from 1 species
UUUGAAUUCGGACAAUGGGCGAAAGCCUGAUCCAGCCAUGCCGCGUGCAGGAAGACGGCCCUAUGGGUUGUAAACUGCUUUUGUACGGGAAGAAACACCCCCACGUGUGGGGGCUUGACGGUACCGUAAGAAUAAGCAUCGGCUAACUCCGUGCCAGCAGCCGCGGUAAUA